rnacentral:rRNA from 1 species
GACGUAGGGCGCGAGCGUUGUCCGGAAUUAUUUGGGCGUAAAGAGCUCGUAGGUGGUUUGUCGCGUUGUUCGUGAAAACUCACAGCUCAACUGUGGGCGUGCGGGCGAUACGGGCAGACUGGAGUACUGCAGGGGAGACUGGAAUUCCUGGUGUAGCGGUGGAAUGCGCAGAUAUCAGGAGGAACACCGGUGGCGAAGGCGGGUCUCUGGGCCGAUACUGACGCUGGAGGAGCGAAAGCCGUGGGGAGCGAACAGG